CAGCAGUGAGGAAUUUUGGGCAAUGGGGGAAACCCUGACCCAGCGACGCCGCGUGGGCGAUGAAGGUCUUCGGAUCGUAAAGCCCUGUGAGUGGGGAAGAAGGGAUUGGUUGCUAAUAUCAACCAGUUUUGACAGUACCCACAGAGGAAGCCCCGGCUAACUACGUGCCAGCAGCCGCGGUAAAACGUAGGGUGGAGCGUUGUUCGGAAUUACUGGGCGUAAAGCGCGUGUAGGCGGUUUUUAAGUCGGAAGUGAAAUUCCUCGGCUCAACCGAGGAACUGCUUUCGAAACUCUUGAACUUGAGUAUGGGCGAGGGGAGCGGAAUUCCCGGUGUAGCGGUGAAAUGGCUAGAUAUCGGGAAGAACACCAGUGGCGAAGGCGGCUCUCUGGACCAUUACUGACGCUGAGACGCGAAAGCGUGGGUAGCAAACAGGAUUAGAUACCCUGG
rnacentral:rRNA from 1 species